rnacentral:sRNA from 1 species
GCCAGGCACAGUGAUGCAUGCCUGUAAUCCCAGUAGCUUGGGAGGCUGAGACAGGUGUAUCUCAAGUACAAAGCCAGCCUUAGCAAUGGCGAGGCACUUAGCAAUCCUGUCUCUA